UACGAAGGGGGCUAGCGUUGUUCGGAAUUACUGGGCGUAAAGCGCGUGUAGGCUGCUCGGAAAGUCGGAUGUGAAAGCCCUGGGCUCAACCUAGGAAGUGCAUUCGAAACUACCGAGCUGGAGUUCUGGAGAGGAAGGCGGAAUUCUCGGUGUAGAGGUGAAAUUCGUAGAUAUCGAGAGGAACACCGGUGGCGAAGGCGGGUCUCUGGGCCGUAACUGACGCUGAGGAGCGAAAGCGUGGGGAGCGAACAGG
rnacentral:rRNA from 1 species